GACGAACGCUGGCGGCGUGCUUAACACAUGCAAGUCGAGCGGAGCGGCGAACGGGUGAGUAACGCGUGAGUAACUGCCCCCCUCUCUGGGAUAACAGUUGGAAACGGCUGCUAAUACCGGAUAGUGGGGGAUGGCUCGGGUCGUGUCAGCUUGUGGGUGGGGUAGUGGCCUACCAAGGCGAGGAGGGGUUGCCGGCCUGAGCAGGCGACCGGCCACAAUGGGCUGGGAUGCGGCCCAAACGCCUACGGGGGGAAGGAGUGGGGAAUAUUGCAGAAUGGGGGAAGCCGUGAUGCAGCAACGCGCGUGCGAGAUGAUGGCCGUCGGGUUGUAAACCGCUUUCAGCCAUGACGCGGAAGUGACAGAAGAAGCACCGGCUAACUACGGGCCAGCAGCGGCGGUAAUA
rnacentral:rRNA from 1 species